GCGAGUGAAGAGGGAAGAGCCCAAGAUUGAAAGCUGGCGUCUUCGGCGUCCGCAUUGUAAUCUCAAGAAGUGUUUUCCGCUUCGGACCAUGCCUAAGUCCCUUGGAAAAGGGCAUCAUAGAGGGUGAUAAUCCCGUACAUGGCAUGGAGCGCCCGAAGCUUUGUGAUACGCUUUCUACGAGUCGAGUUGUUUGGGAAUGCAGCUCAAAAUGGGUGGUAAAUGCCAUCUAAGGCUAAAUAUUGGGGAGAGACCGAUAGCGAACAAGUACAGUGAUGGAAAGAUGAAAAGAACUUUGAAAAGAGAGUUAAACAGUACGUGAAAUUGCCAAAAGGGAAGGGUAGGAGGUCAGAGAUGCGUCUUGGGAUUCAGCCUUGCUUUUGCAUGGUGUUUUUCCCAAGUUGCAGGCCAACGUCGGUUUUGGGCACUGGAGAAGGGUAGGAGGAACGUGGCACCUCUCGGGGUGUGUUAUAGCCUCCUGCUGGAUACAGCGACCGAGACCGAGGAACGCAGCGUACUCGUAAGAGCGGGCCUUUUGGCACCUUUACGCUUAGGGCGUUGGCAUAAUGGCCCUCUACCACCC
rnacentral:rRNA from 1 species